rnacentral:rRNA from 1 species
AUUGAACGCUGGCGGCAUGCUUUACACAUGCAAGUCGAACGGCAGCGCGGGCUUCGGCCUGGCGGCGAGUGGCGAACGGGUGAGUAAUGCAUCUGAACGUGCCCAGUAGUGGGGGAUAGCCCGGCGAAAGCCGGAUUAAUACCGCAUACGACCUGAGGGUGAAAGCGGGGGACCGAAAGGCCUCGCGCUAUUGGAGCGGCCGAUGUCGGAUUAGCUAGUUGGUGGGGUAAAGGCUUACCAAGGCGACGAUCCGUAGCUGGUCUGAGAGGACGACCAGCCACACUGGGACUGAGACACGGCCCAGACUCCUACGGGAGGCAGCAGUGGGGAAUUUUGGACAAUGGGGGCAACCCUGAUCCAGCCAUGCCGCGUGCGGGAAGAAGGCCUUCGGGUUGUAAACCGCUUUUGUUCGGGAAGAAAUCCUCUGGGCUAAUACCCCGGGGGGAUGACGGUACCGGAAGAAUAAGCACCGGCUAACUACGUG